GUGCUGAUAUUUUUAGCACUUUUACCUAUGUAGGAAUGAUAAGAGGACAAUUUGUAAAGGUCCCAUUUAAACACAGCAUAAAGUUAUCCAAGAGCUCACAAGUGAAGAAAGUGUAUUUGUCAGAGGAAAGUCAUAGUACUUAACUAAACAAAGUCUACCUGUCCAGGUUUGAUGCGACACCAGGAUCAAGAAUCGAACUUGGGACCUUUCCGUCACAAAGGUAAUGCUGGAACCACUGAUCCCAGUCCCCAGUAGAGCAAUCAAUACUCUGACACCCAAUACAAGCCUCAUGUACUAAACCAGCUUAAACAACAAGCAAGGACCCAUUUUUAUCAAUUUUGAUUAAAUUGUGGAGUAACUGACAUAUCUGCAAUAUGGUACAGAAGUGAUUCGGAAGAAAAUGAACCAAUAUCAACUGAUCAGGUUUUCAUCAAUCAAAAACCAUUUUUUGAUAUUAUCAUGUAGAUGGUUUUUUUUAUAACUGUCAUAUUCAUAUCUACUUCUUUUGUAUUAAUGAAAUAUUAAAUGAAACAGACUACAA